rnacentral:tRNA from 2 species
GGUUGAUUAGCUCAGCUGGGAGAGCACCUCCCUUACAAGGAGGGGGUCGGCGGUUCGAUCCCGUCAUCACCCACCA